rnacentral:rRNA from 1 species
GUCUACGGCCAUACCACCCUGAACGCGCCCGAUCUCGUCUGAUCUCGGAAGCUAAGCAGGGUCGGGCCUGGUUAGUACUUGGAUGGGAGAAAGGCCUUCCUUUGCCAUUGGUU